UCCUCCAUCUCACGUUUUCCGUUCCUAUCCGCCGGCGAAACUGGUGAAGUUUUUACCGUUGUGUCCAUGGAAACCGGUAAAGAAGAUACAGCCGUCUUCCUGGAUCGUGCUUCUCGAUCAACCAGAGGGAGAAGGUGAAUCUUCAACCUAAAUUAAGAUAGGAUUCCUAUCAUUUAAUACGGUUCUUUUUUUUUUUUCAAAAAAAAUUUUCUGGAAAUAAUUAAUAUGCAAACCCUAUUAUUUUCUAUUUCCAGGAUGACGAAGUUGCUGGACGAGGAAGUUGAAGAGGACGAGAUGUUUUGGAAUCAAGAAGCUUUUAAAGAGGUUCAAGCACACACUUAUUCUAGUGAAAAUACUCUCACCAUAUUCUUAGACUAUAGAAUUGAUGUUGAUGUAUUGGAAUACGGGUGAUUUGAUGUUACCUUAAAUUCGUACAAACUCUGAAACUAAGAGUUUAUUUAGAGCGACAAUAUUGGGAGUAGCUAGAAAUUAUGAUCACUACUUAGUUUAUUAGUUUUAGGUUUUGAUUAAAGGAUUCAACGACAUUAACCCUUUUUUCUGUUUGUGGUUCUCUCCUUAGGAGGAGAAUGAUGCCAAUUACGAAGAAGAGCCAGAGGCUGCUGAUGUGUUUGAUAGUGACUUCGAUGAAGAUGUUUGUAUUGCUCUCUUCUCUACUUUUGAUUUAAUUCUUUUUUUAUAAUUACUCUUCCGUUGCAGGAUAUCUUUCUUAGUGCUAAGAAAACUUCACACCUUUGGUAUCUUGAAAAUUGACUCUCUUCUAUGGCUUGGCUGCUAGGAACCUGAGCCAGAUGAGGAAGUAGAAGACGAAGCAGAUGAAAGGUUUAGCUUCUUUUACCUUUGUUGUAUUGUAUUUACAUCUCCAUUUUGUUGCCCUUAUUUUUAUAUUGAAUUGCCCUAGCAGGGUUCGCACAAAGAAGCGUCUGAUAUUUCCUGGAAAGCCUUCUUUGAAGAAAAAGAAGAAAAAGAAAGUUCAUUCAAAUUUAGAUGGCGAUUCCAAGGAUGAAAAUCUUACUCAAAAGACUUCCUCUACACAGCAUCAUGAUGCCCCUGAUGAUGCAGAAGGUGAAAGAAUUAUAAGGAAAUCUACAAGAACUUCAGUCAUUGUUAGGCAAGCUGAGCGAGAUGCGAUACGUGCUGCUCUGCAGGCAACAAUGAAGGCAAGUUUUUUGGUUAUUUUUUUUUCUUCUUUUAUAGGAAAAUAUUUCUACUAUACAUUGUUAUCUCAAAAAUGGGAAAAUAAAACUGAUCAUGGUAUUGGUUACUGCAUUUAUCUUUUCUAACUGAUAUUUAUAUAUGUGUAUAAAUAUAUAUUCUUUUGUAUAUUGAUGAGAUCUAGUUUAAACUUAAGCAAAAUAAUACAAGAAGUGUUUUCAUAACGACUGCUUUGAGUAUUAUACCAUUUGAUGUUCGUUCUUGACUCUACUCUUGUUCUUGAAACUUUAAUUUCACCGGUGAGAGACUUGGGUAUAUGUUGGAGGGAGCUUUGGGGGGAUGGUUGUCUCAAAGUGCCCUAGUAUUUCCUAGAUUCCUGAUGUGUGAAUUGAUGUCUUUUUACAAGUAAAUGAUAUUCCUCCCUUACUUUGAAAAAGGAAAAGAAGGAAGAUAAAAGAAAGGAAAACUGUAAAUCAAACCGAACGGGAAUCCCAAUCUUUCUGAGGAAAUUAUUCCCGCAUUUUGUCUUGGCUCCUCCAAGAAAAAAAAAAUAAAAAAUGGAUGGACGUAUAGUUUUUUGGCCACUAAGCUGAAAAGGAUUAGUUUCAUUGCACUUCAUUCUGCUUCUCUUGCAUGUAGCUGUAGAUUUGGAUAUGGAUGAAAAUUUCAAGUUUAGGCAAAAAUCAUGUGAAUUGCACAAUUUAUAAAAAUUGUUAAGUUACUGGAACAAUUUGCUCUCCCCCUUAUUUGGUAAUAUUUGAUAAGUGUAAUCAAUGCCCUAGAUUAAGUUCAUUGCAAGUGACAAAUUUAUAAUUUCUAGGAGACUUGUACUUAUAGUGCCAUUUGCCUUAUCAUUUUAUUUAUUUACUUUUUAAAAUUAUAAUAAGGAGCAAUGGGAUCUUAUAUCGUGCUGUGUAAUUCGGUUUAAUCUUAUUAGUAUUGAAAUUUUAUUACUAGAAACUUUCAGAUAAUUAUCUCAGAAAGCAUUAACCUUUGGUUUUGAUGAUUUGUUUGUAAACUUGAUCGAAUUAAUGCCUUAGUGAGCGGAAUAGUAAUCUGACAGUGUUGAGGGUUUAAAUCUUUAGUAUGGUUGUUAAUUUGUAUCAUUCUAUGUUAGAGUUACAAUUGAUUGUAUCAUUGUAUGUUCAAGUUACUAUAAUUAAUUUGUUUGCAUAAUUUCAUUAUUGUUAAAAUUAGUGAUAGGUUGGAGCUAAUAUCUAAAUUCUAUUAAUACUAUUUAAAUAAUAUUAAUAGAUAUUCAAAGUGUAGGUUCUAAAUAAUGGUGUUUGAUUUGUGAAUUUAGUUAGGUUGACACCGUAAAAUUAAGUCUUUCCAUUAAAGUAUUUUGUCCUCUAGAAAAAUAAAAGAAAUUUAUUACUCAUCUUCAUAUGGAAUGGUAUUUGUAUCCUUAAGUUUUGAUGAAAUUGUAAAAGGUUUCUCUAUAUUUUUUUUUAUCAUGUUGUCCUCACCUUUAAGCCUUAUGAAUUUGGGCAUAAAUCUUUAUGCCUCUAGCGUCAUUUCCCAUGAAGAAAUUAGGUUCUUGUUGUUUGUGACCCUCCCCAUUCCCACCUGCGCUGUUUUUUUAGUCUUUGAUCAUCUUGCUUAGGUGGUAGAUGUGAUUUCUUUAACCUAUUUGAUGUUGGAUAUGAUUUAAUAUGGGUGUUCUUUUUCUGCAAAUUUUGAUCCAAGUAGUUUCAAGGUUAAUCACUUUGCUAAAGAAUCAGUAUUAAUUCCAUGAAGACUAUGUCUAAUUAAUAUUUCACAAUGACCUCAGAUUUAACAACAUAAUCGCACUCAUGCAUACAAAGUUUUAAAUCCAUCCGAUAUUUCUAUCACAUCCGUUGAGAAUAUUGUCUUUUUAUAUAUAUAUAUGAUGGUUUGAAAUUUUUUAUAUCAAAUGAUGUUAAGACAUUUUUAAUUACUUGGAAAUUUGAUGGGCAUGAUCUGCUUGAAUAAAUUUUCUUGAAGUACCCAUGUCCGGCACUUGUGUCCAACAUGUGGAUAUGGAGAUAUUACCUCUAAAGAUCCUCCGAAUACAUGGGUAACCUUAGAAAAGGCUUAACCAUAUCGGAUACCCUGUAUCCAACACUCACACCCAAGUCCGAGUAACAUAGGUAUGAAACAUGAUGGUUGGAUUAAGCAGAUAUAUAUCUUCGUGUAUGUGCUACAUCAGCACCAUACUGACUUUGUAGCUCUAUUCACAUGUUUUCUGUUGCCUUAGACUUUGUCAUGCUACUUUUAGCAACAGAGUGCAACUUAAUUAUCUAUGAAGUGUCACGAAGGUAAUUGCUUCUAAACAGGCUGAUGUGGCACUUACACUAUUUUAAUUUUUUAUCUUCAGCUGUUUUAAUUUCCUUCCAAAUAUCAUGCACCUGUCCAAGGGGUUGCUCGGGGAAAACUUAUUGGCUACAAUAUUGGUAUCUUAGUUUAAGUUUAGAUUAUUAUACAUAGAAUUUCCUAAUAAAGAUAUCAAGAAUUUCACACUAUACUUUAUGCACAAAUCUGAGUGUUGGUUAUCUCAUUGAGCAUUGAAAUGCAUAACUAUUUAUAGUCACUUGCUCUUGUUUUCCCCUCCAUUUGAGGUUUGCAUUUUUUUUGAGACUAUAAUGUAGAUAGAAGCAAUAAAAACACAAUCACUGUCUUUUACUGAAACUUCUGUAAUCCUUUGGUUGAAACUUAUGAACUAUUCAGAGAUGUGAAACUGUCAAGUUGUGUACGGUCAGAAUUUGAUGUAUGUAUAUCAAAUUCGUUAAGAAAGUUCAUGCCAACAUUCUGUUCAUAUUUGAUGGGAAUAUUCUCAUGACUCACUAUUUAUGUAUGGAUACUGUCAAAUGUAUGAUUUGUAAUUUCAUAUAUCCGUAUUGCUUGUGCAUGUCUGUCUGUGUGUGUAUUGUUUGAUUGUAUAAUUUGGAAAGAGUGAAAAUGUAGCUAUGCCAUGUGAUUAUUUAUGAGGUAUUUUUUAAUCACCAGCCAAUAAAAAGGAAAAAAGAAGGUGAAGAGAAGAGGAUGACUCAAGAAGAAAUGCUUUUAGAAGCAGCACAAACAGGUUCAGGCUGAAAGUUACCUUUGAUGUUUGGAUUUCUUAGGUUCUUAUUUGAUUUUAACUUGAAUUUAUUAAUUUUAAUUUUGCAGAAAUUAUGAACUUGAGAAAUUUAGAGCGUGUUUUGGCAAGGGAGGAAGAAGUUAAGAAACGAGCAAUAAUCCACAAGGCUGUUUAUAGUGGUCCGCAGAUUAAAUAUGUGUCAAAAGAUGGCAAGAUUCUCUUCAUAGCUGUUGAUUCUAGUUCUUAAAUGCAACAAUAAUAAAUACAUGAUUGUUGAUUAUUUGGAGUCUGUUAAUUGAAAUUAUCUAUACAAAUCCAUGCAAUCUUUUGCAGGUUCUUCAUAUCUAGAAUUUAGUAAAGGAUUGACAUUUCACUCAGAGCUCUCAACCACACCGCUUCCAUGUAAGCUGUAGGGUCGAUUAACAAAAUUUAUGAUGUAGAUUCUUAAAAAAUUUCUUCUUAUCAAACUGAUACUUUUUUGUCAAUCAAUGGCUUUGUUCUCUUCUGGCUUUUAUCUCAUUUUAGUUCCCUUGGAUGUCAUUUUAGCUCAAGCAUUCAACAAACACAACCUGUUGAAGUUGGGGCCAAUCAUUUUGUGGAACUAGUUGUCAUAUUUUUCUUUCAUAUAGGGACAUUAGUUUAGAUCUCCACCGUUGCUAGAAGUUCUGGAAAUUUUGCUUUUAGCCUAGAGCUUAGAUCAUUGGGGUUUUGCAUAGGGGUUUUAAAUUAGCAUCACUCAUUUUUUCAUCCCACCAUGUGAGAUAAUGAUGUUGCUGCAAGCAAAAACAAGGAGCUCGGGGAUAUCAUAUGUAAUGGUGUGAUUUGUAUUUUCAUGAUGAAUGUCUUUGGUAUUAAAUAUUAUUGCUGGCUUUUGUUACCAUUAGAGUUGAUGUAUCUGUAAAUUUCUAGUGGCUGAAAAUGCUGUGUAAAUCACAAUAAAGUUAUCCAAUUCUUAGGCUUAUAGAAAUUGACUUCAACAGAUUUCUUGAAAAAGAAGUGCAAAAUCCAAAUUGGAAUUAGUUAAAAUAUUUAUCAUGUUUUUCAGAAUGAAAAUAAAAAGGGGCUCCACAAGUGGUGUAGAUAAUGAAACGCAAUUAGUUCAUACCCUGAUUUUAGUGAUAAAAAUAGAAACUUGUACCCAUCAGAAAAACUCUCACCCAUGAACCCAGAGGGUGUGAUGCAGAGAAUACUAGAAGCUAAUUAUGGGAUUAAAUGUACUAUUUUAUAGGUGUAGGGUUAUACUUAGUAUUUUACAUUUAAUUAGGGUUUAACAUCCUGUUUUUUUCCGUGCCCUUUUAGAUUUUGUUUUCAAGUCAAGUUUGUUUUCCUGUUUUCUUGAGUUUCAAGUCAAGUUUAUUGCUUUCUGUUCUCCGAGAUUUCAAAUUAAGCUAGUUAGCUUAGUGUCCAAAUUAUGGGUCUAUAUAAAUUAAUGUACUCUUCUAUGGAUGGAAUAGACUUGCAUAAAAUUUUAGCUUAUUGUUUGUGGUUAUGUGAUAAAAUCUUCCUUGGAUGUAAACUCCAAAGGACCCCUGGGUGUCUUAGGUUUUCUUUGUUCUCGGUUUGUGUGAUGCGAUCAAAGAACCAUAGGCUUGAACUUUAAGGAUCUUUUCUCUUUUCUUUACCAAAAUUCUGUUUUCUGAAGAAACUCACAUUAUAUUUAACUUUAAACCUUAGCCCCUAAACUAUCCUGCACCAGUUAGUAUUAGAGCCUAAAGAUUUAAAAUUUUUGAUGUGAUUCUGGGUGCUAAUGGUGAAGAAUGCAAAACUGGAAUCGAACUUUGAGGAUUUCCAACAAGAUCCUGAAGAAGCCAAGAUGGUUUUACUAGAAAAGAUAGAUGCACAAAAAGAAAGAAUUUUGUCCAAGGUGGCAGAAUUGUUCAAAAUUUUUUCUGUCCGAGGCAAACAACUAGGAUUUUAAUUUCAAUUAUGAUUUAGUAUCUUAGUGUUGUUUUGCUAACAUUAUUAGGUUUUAUUUCCAAGUCAAGUUUGCUUUUCCUUUAUCUUGAGUUUCCAGUUACUUAUGUUGUUUUCUAUUUUCUUGAGCUUCAAGCUAAGCUUGUUUGCUUAGAUAGAGUCCAAGUAAGGGUGUACAAAAAUUGAUGUAUUCUAUUGAGGGAAUAGACAUUUUAAAAGUUUUCUGCUUAUUGCUUUUGUGUUGUGUGAUACAAUCAUCCUCGGAGUAUGAUUCCUGAAGAACCCCAGGUUUGAUACUUGGGUUUUCUUCUUCUUGAUUGUGUGAUGCUUAAGGAACCAUAAGCAUGAUGGUUAGGGAUCUAUCUAGUUUCUUUUUCAUUCUUUCUCUCAAGAUAUUUGGAUUAUCGUUGAACUUCAAACCUUAGACCCAAAGCUGUCUUGUAUCAGGAUGACUAAGGAGAGAACUUUCUGUUACAUGAUUUUCUAAAUAUGUGCAUAAUAUUUAUCAUUUAACAGUAUAGUGUGGAUGAUUCUCUAAUAUUUGUUAUUAUUAUUAUUAUUUUUUGAUUCUGGCCUUUUUGUUUAACUACCAUUAGUUCUUUGCUCUAUUGAUAUCCUUUUGAUUCAUUUAUUUGUUUAAAUUAUCUUUACAUCCAGACCCAGAAAAGGCUAUGUGUGCUGUCACUGGAUUGCCGGCGAGGUAAGAGCUUAUUUUCAUAAUGGUUAUUUGAAGAAACUUGAAAGAAUUAUUCUUAUUCUUUCUUAAUAAUUCAACUUACAUAUAUAUGGGAGUGGUUGCUGUUAAUAGUAAAUAAAAAACUAGGGCAUAAUGGAGGAAAAUCCUCCACUAGGAAAAAGAAAUAAAGAAGAGAUUUGGCAUAUAUUAUCAGAUUCUCUUUUAUUAUAGCAUACCGGAAAUAAGAAAAUAAAAUAUAGGAAAGCCCCUACAGUACCUCCCUAAAUAAAAUCCUAAAAUAUCUCCCUAUAAUCUCUAAUUGAUUAUAGAUGCUAAUUUCAAAUUAUUGCUUGAUCUUUCAUUCCAAAGUCUUGCUGCUGAAUAAAUUGUUGUCAUUGCAGUAUUUGGAACCAAAUGGUGAUUUCUUACAGUUGUACUGGAAGCACAUAAAAAUUUCUUUUGCAGCGUUUUUUUCCAUGUUGUAAAGCAUUAGUGGAAUGUUUUGCCUUGCUUUUAUCUUUCUUGAGUUUUAUUUGGACUGUUGGCACUACUGUUAUGCUCCCAGUCAUGAUCAAUUAGCUUUCAAUAGCUUCCAAAUGUAUGUUAGAAAUGUCAUUAGUUUGGGAAAUACAAAAGUGAAAGCCAUGAAUUAGAGAUAUGCUUCUCUUGAGCUGGGAAUUUCAUCAAAGUUGUUACUAUAUCAUGUUUAUGAUUUGGUAGAAAUGUUAAUUCUGUGAUACUUAAACAUUUUAAGAGAGACAAAUUUGGCUUUCUCCAUCCACCCUUAUUUGUUCAAAUUGUGGUUCGAUGUUGUAGGUACCGAGAUCCAAAGACUGGGCUAUGCUAUGCAACAAAGGAAGCCUUUAAAAUUAUUCGAGAACGGUAUGUCUCUAUUCAGUUUUAUCGGUCUCUUUUCUGAUAUAUCACCUUGAGUUAUUCAUUUUCUAUAGUUUACAUGUAUUAUAUGUUACUUGGACUUGGAUGUGAUCGUUAGACAGAGUUGUGUUUGAAAUGAGUAUGUUUAAUUUUUGUAUGUUUGAGGAUCCUUGGAGGGUCCUAUCCUGGCAUCCAUGCUCGUAAAUGUGUUGGACAUAGGUACUUAAAGAAAAAUGACGACUUGUAGCAACAGAGCAUUUAUUUAUAGUUAGCAGAGGUGCUCCUCUGUCAACCAGUUUAAGUCUUCAGCAAUUUCUGAUAUGCUCCCCUAAAUAUACCAACCAAAAGGGAAAUCAUAACUUUUUUUUUAAAAAAAAGAGGGAAGGUGGGAGGGGAGUGGUUAAUCUUAAUUUCUUGCUGAGUUUGUUUUUCCUGAUUUUGUAGUUUUCGAGAUGAACAUAAAAGUGCUCCCAAGAAAAUGGAUAUGGGGGUCUUGCUUGAUUCUCUGUCUGGUCACGGUUUAAUGCCCAGGCGGAAGAGGUCUCACGUAUCAAAUAGAAGUCAAACAUCACGCUUCCAGUACUUGGGGAAUUUCCGCAGAACACCACCUGAUGAUGAUGAAAGUUCAGAUUAGUUGAUAUGGUAAUUUUCUAAAAUUUUCAGCGUAGAUUGCGUUUAUUUCAAGAAGUGUGUUUUUGUUGGCUUUAUCUAUUCUAUUGCAAAGCCUCUGUAUGAUUGGAUAUUUGACAAGCUAGAUCACUUUUCUGUUUCUGGACCACAAAAUCUGUUUAAAGUAAACAAAGGGGAAAAGCAUAAAUUGAGUCAAUUCUUUGAACCGACUUUGUAAUUGCUAACGCUAUCAGGAAGCACCUAUCUUGUUGGCAAUAAUUUUGUCUUGUUUUAAAUCAUGAGCAACCACUCGCUCUAGAAGGUGUGGUCAAGUUAGAUACAGUUUCAAACUCCAUCUUGAAUAUAGUUAUUUUGAUAAAGAUAACCAAAUAUAUGUAAUUGUAGGUUCCUUUAUCUUUUGAAAUGAUUAUCCUGGAUAUGUAAAUGCGUAUGAUGUCACAAUUGUCCCUUGUCAGCAUGCAGUUCUUUCAAAGAAGUUUGUUAAAAGAUUGUUGUGCUUUAUUUAUAAAAAAUGCAGUUUCUGCAUUCUUUUAUUUCUGGGUACACCUUUUAGCUGUUUUAUGAUUUUGUUUGAUUGUUAACAAUAUUGUGAAAGCUCAGUUAUUUUAGGACAUUUUCUGCUGUGUGUGUAUGUGAUUUUGUUUGGGGUUGGUUGCUAUAUUGAUGUUGAGUGAUGAAACUGUUGAUAGGUUAAUUUGAGAUGUAUUUGGAAAUUAAGAAAGUUGAAUGUAAAGAUCAAACAAGAACAAAAGAGGAACAUUGUUUGUCAUCCAUAAUAGAUGAUGUUCUAACCAAUGUGAAACACCUAAUUUUAGGUUUUCAGUUGACUUGUUAAUUUGAAAACUGCAUCAUGAAAGCAUUAAACAUGUAUUUGAUAUCCCUACUACUCUCAAAUGUUCAGAUUGCUAUUGAAGUUUAAAAUGUGCAAUGUACUCAAAUUUUGCUUAUGUUAACUGGAUUGCACAUUCAACUUACUACAAUAGUAGAAAGCAUGUGGAAUUGCCAUGUCAUCACCCCAUGAUCACCACGUCCUCGUGUGGGAUUGAAUGCUGGGACCAUCAUAAUUUGUCUAAUUCGAUUAGGUGAAUGGAUGUUUUAUUUAUAAAAACACUCGGUUGUUUUGAAAUAUAUGAACCAUACAAGCUUUUGUAACCAGAUAUAAGAGAAACUUCAAGUGAAGAUUGUAUGAAGAUGUUUCUAACAUACUGUGGAUGAUAUUGAAUCAUGGGAAGCAGGGUGUGUUCCAAGAAACACUUUAUGGUGAUUUGUUCUAGACUUGGAGUUAUUCUGAGUGAGCUUGGUUUCAAGGUUCGAGCCUUUAUCUAGGGAUUCUUUCAUGUUUAUUGAUUUAUAUUCUCCUAUUGUGAUCUGCAUGCAAUGCACAUUACUGUAACCUAGUUUCUUGCUCUUACAUUUAUUGAAGAAUUUCAGUUAAAUGUUCAUCUUCCAAUUUCUGACAUGGCUGCACUUUUUCUCGCCAGAUUGCAAGGAGUCAUGGCUACUGGCCUCGGGAGUAUUUACAGCUAGAGUGAGACUUAAAAUUGUGUGGUAGGUUUCCCAAUGUUUCAAAAUAUUCAAAUAUAUGUAGAUGUUCCAGGGAUAAUUUAACAUUAUUAAAGUAGGUAGAUAGGAGUGUAAGCUAUAUAUGCAGAUUAAAAACCACUUUUGGCGAUGAAAUGCUUCAGCUAAAAAACUCCUUAGUUAAUUAAAUUAGAGCAUUGUUCUUACCCCCGAAAAAACAGAGAAUCAUUCUUGCUUUACCUUGCUUGGUCAUUUUGAAUAUGCUGCUGUUGUCAGUUUUGGUAAUUUAGCUUACGUUCAGCUUGUUUUAGUUCAGCCGAGCUUCACUUUUCAUGCUCUUUCACAUCCUUCUCCGCUUGAAUAGAGGUACUUUAAAUUGUAAUAUAGACACCAAGUACCAUUUACUCACACACAUACGUAGAAAAAAAUGAUUAUUCAAAUUUGACUACGGCUUGAGGAGUUUAAGCUCUGCUAGAUAACGAAUGAUUCAAUGGAAGGCAAUUUAGUAAUAGGUAAUUUUUUUUUUUAGUUUUCUUAUUUCAGGUGUGUUGGAUGUGAAAUAUAUGCAUUUAAUUAUCUUUAUUUUAAUAAAUGUUAUUAUAUUCUAUAAUUAAUAUAAGUAAUUAUUAUCUUUAUAUUCUAUAAUUAAUAUAAGUAAUUAUCAAAAGAUAAGUCAAAUAUAUAAAAUAUUAAAAAAAUUAUUUGUAUAAAAAGUUUAAAAGAUUAAUAUGUUGCAACUUUAGAUAUACUUCUAAUAUCUGUCAUAAAAAUAUUUAUGAUGGUUAUGAAAAAAAUAUUUAUUUUAAUGUUACAAGUGAUUUAAUAUUUUGCUUUAGUUGAAUUAUAUUUUAAAGUAUUUUUUAACAUGUUGUUUUAAUUAAAAAUAUACUUAUAAUUAUUUUUUAGCUUAAACAAUAUAUCAAUAUUCAAAGAAAUUUUUAUUUAAGAUUUUUUUAUUUUUUUAAUAUUGCAAAAAUAUAUCGAAAGUUUGUACCAAAAAAUUAUAUCUAAAGAAAUUCAUAUGUUUUCAUUGAUAUUAUUAAAUAAUUACAAUUAUAAUAUAUAACAUUGUAUAUAGUGAAAAACAAGCGCGAGUACAAAGGGAUCCAUUAAAAAUUGAAAUAAAUGACUGACAAAUUAAGUUGAUAAUACUUUCUGAAAAAGAAAAUGACAUUGAAAUUUUGUUAUUUUAAAAUUUAUUGAAUUAUAUUUAUUUUAUUUUUAUGUUCAAUAUAUUUAAUGAUGUUAUGUACUUAACUUUUAAUAAUUAAUAACAUAUAUAAAAAACAUGUUAAAAAUAGAUGUACAAUUUAUACGAUAAAAAUAUAAUUAUCAUUUCGUCAGUUACUACUUUUGAUAGCAGAGCUAGUAAAAAACUAUUAAUUUUUAAAUUUAUUGUCAAAGCAUUAUCAUUUAAUUAAAACUAAAAAAAAUAUUUACACGAGAAUAAUAAGUUAUUCUAAUGUUAGUUUAGUAAUAUAAUGAGUAUUAUAGGAUUCUCUUUAAACUCUUAUUUUUAUGUUUACGUUUUAUGCUUUAUAUUGGGUUAAUUAUUUGUUUAUGUCAAAUUAUAAAACAAAAAUUUGAGGGUUAAAUAUGCUCUAAUUCUCUAUAGACUUUGCACAUUUAAAAUUUAGUCUCUACUUUUAAUUUUAAAAAUUUAGUUACUUUACUUUUCAUAUUUAAUAAUUUAGGUCUAGUUGUUACCAUCAUUAAAACCAUUUUUUUUUAAAUUUACUAGAAUGAUUGUAGGAUCAAAUUUUUAAACAAACCCAAACCUAGGCCUAAACAAAUUAACCACUAAAACAAAACCUAGCCCAAUACAAACACAAACCCACUAAACAAGCCCAAAACCAAUAAAGCAAAAAUGGGAAAUCCUAACUUGAGGAAUAGCAGCCGCAAGCAGUUCCCAGCAGCCGGAUCUUGCGCACCAUGUCGACACUCACGUCCAACACGCCUCGUGCCCCCGACUCCCUCGCACCCACGGCUCCCACGUCAGCCUUGCCUGCAGCAAAAAACAAUUAUAAAACAAGGCUAUAAAGCCUAAAAUAAACAAUAUAUUUGGAAACGGUUUUUUUCCCUAGAGACAGAGAACAAGCAAUAGCAAUCAAAGUGAGAUUCAAAGUUUAAGAGGUUACUUUUCAUUCUUUUACCAGACUUUUUUUUUCCCUUUUUAUUUUUUUUUCUUCUUUCAUAUUUUGAUAAAUCGAUUUUGAAUAAAACCAAAAGAAGAAGGCUUACUCGAUUUUGCUCCGUGAAGCGCCGAUAGAGGCAGAGGUGCAUGGCGCCGAUGACCCUCAGAUACGGAGCUAAACUUGGUUAAAUCUUUAGCAAGGCAAAAGGGGGUGGUUUUUUUUUUAAAUUUAAAGAUGCUAGAUGUAACUCUCUUGCAAGUUUUUACUUUAUAAGUUUAUAAAGUAGCACUGUUUGGUGCCUUGAUUUUUUGGGGAUUAUUUUGCAAUUGAUCCCUCCCUGUUACUCUAGCUUUUAAUUCGGACCCUUUUGAACUUUGGUUAAUUAUGAUUUGGCCCCAAAACUUAGAUUUUAUCGCAUUUUCGUCCUAUACCAAAACACUGCGCUUUGAAGGAUAAGAAAAUUUGCUUUCCUGGUCCUCCCUCUUAGCCCGUACGUUCAUUUUAGCCCAUGUGGCUUUUGUUUUCUAAAGUUCGCCCCGAAACUCCUGUUUCACUGCAAUUUAACCUUUUUUCCUUGCUCUUUUGUCAUUUUACCGCUGACUUAAUUAAUUUGAGCCUUAUUUUCAUUUUUUUUCUGUUAAUUUAAUUUGUUUGAGUUAUGUUUUACAUUAUUAUAUCAUUUUAUAUUAUAUGCUUAUUAUAGGUUUUUUUAGCAAAGUUAAUUAUUUUAUGUAUAAAUUUUAAUCAUAUUUAUAUAUUAUUUGUUAUAUUUUUUUUACUAAUAAGCAUUUUUAUACUAUUUAGUUUUUUUUAGGCUCAUAAUUUUAAAUAUAGUUUAUUAUACUUCUUAUUUUCUUCAUUAUUUUUACUAUUUACUACCAUUUUUUUGUCACUUAUAACUUAUAUAUAUACAUUUUUUCCCUAAAAGUUUUUUUUCCUUCAAAUAUAUUCUUUAAUGGACUUAUCAUAUUGUUUUUUUAUAUACACCAUUUUUUUAUCAGUUAUUUUAUACUAAAUUAUUAUUAUUUAUUACUCCUUACUAUAUAUUAUUAUUGAUUUCAUAUUGCUUGCUGUCCAUAUUCUUUAUAUAUAUAUGUAUUAUAUUUUAUUCAUACAUUUGUUUCUUUUAAAUCCCAUUUCAAAGUAUACCUCGGUCUUUAAAAUAUUUUCUUAUGUUAUUUUGCGUAUAUAUUCAAUUUAAAUUAUGCCUUUUACUUUAUAUGCAUAUCUUCUGAUCCUGUUAUGAUUUAGUCGUAUUAUAUUAUUGCAUUAGAUUAUUGUUAUAUAUUUCACAAUGGCAUACCUGUUUCCUUGUAUGGUAUAACAACUCAAAUUUAAACUCACUUAAGCCAGUUCUUAGUUUUUUCAUUUUUUCAAAAAUAAAUUAAAUAAAUACAUUUUUAAUUGACUUUAGAUCGUUUUCAAAAGUCUUAUAAAACAAGGCAAUGUUUCGCGUUUGGAAGUCCAAAAGAGUCGUGCCCUAACGUGCUGGGUUGUGGUUUUUUUCGGUGAUCUAAAUGUCUAAAUAUCCUUCUAGUCUCAGGUUUCAGAAAAUUAAGGGACUAUUUGGGUCUUGAGGGUUAAAAUGUUGUAUCCUAACGUGUUGGGUGUGACAUUUUGUCCUUUUGGAACAAAUAAGCCUUAAUAUCCCAAAACGAACCGUUCAAAUAUUUUCUAAAAGAAUUAUAUUUUAAAAUCUCUUAAAAUUUUCAACAAUAAGGACAUUAUUAAUCAAUUUGGUACCGAUUUUGGGUGUUACGAGAGUGCUAAUCCUUCCUCGUACGUAAUUGAUUCCCGAACCUGUUUUCUUAACAUUCUUAGACCAAAAUGCUUUAUAAGGUGGCCCAAUUACACCUCAAAAAGAAUUGGUGGCGACUCCAUCCAUGUUUUUAAAGUCGAUCAACGUUUUAAAAUUAAAAAUGGUUUCGACAGUUUGGCGACUCCACUGGGGACUUAAAGAGAGUCAAGCCGUAAAAUUGAUUAAUUUCUGUCCUUUUGUCGAAAAUGGAAAUUGUGUUUUGAAAUUAUGUUUUCUUCCGUCACAUUUGUUAGUAUCAUUUUUAUUUUCUCUUAUGUUAUUCCUGCAUCAUACUGCAUGUCCGUUGUCGCACCCUUAAGUGGGAGUGAGAAGCUAUGCCUUCGUGAGGUUUUCACCUCUGCAUGGGCUAGUGGGUUGCUUCCGGGAUACAUCCGUACCUAUGGUUUCGUGAGGUUUUCACCUCCGCAUGGCCAUAGGGAAAUGUAUCCCCCUGAACUGAACUCGAUCCAUAUGAGCCUAUAAUGGGUGAGGAUCAAGGAAUCUGCUGGUUCAGGUACCCUUUCCUUAGAACUGAACCGCAUAUAGUAACCCUUAGGGACCUACCCUAAGUAGAGCCAUGCCAAAUUCUAGUGAUUACCCAAAUAGGUUUUUGAUUAUUUCUUGCUUGCUUUGAUUUUUAUUAUUUGAUACUAACUUAUUGUGUUUUAUUUUUGCCAUGAUUGCAUGUCAUUUCAUAUUUAGGAAGGUGUCAAUACCUGUUCGAUUACUAAGUUAGAGAGCUUGUCAUGGAGAGUGGACUUCUUGAUAAAGUGGGGGAUAAUGUGGUUGUCCGUGCAUGGUCAGAGAAUGCUCAGCUCGAGAAAGGGGAUAGCUUGGCCGAGGGGUACGUGUCGAAAUUGUGGGACUUCACCCGUAUUAGUGUGACACAGAAUGAGCUCCAAGAAUUGAGGGAUAUAUGGGCCCGCUGGAAUGAUGAGACCAAGAAAUUGUUCUACUACAACUACGGUGAUCUGCCUUACCUGCUUGACAUUAAGGUAGACAAGUACUUGUUUCGAGCUAUGACUCAGUUCUGGAACCCCGCAUAUAGUUGUUUCACCUUCGGGAAAGUGGACUUGGUGCAACCGUGGAGGAGUAUUCAGCCCUGUUACGUUGUCCAAGGUUUCAAACGGAUAGAGUGUAUGUUAAGGUCCCCAAUGUACCGAGUUUUGUAAAGAAGCUAAUGAACGUCAUUGGGAUGAGUGAGCAGUGGGUUACAGCCUGGAUUCAACAAAAAGGUGAGGGGAAAUGCAUUCCUUGGGUGAACUUGAGAGACUUGAUCCUGGCACAUCCAGAUGCAAAGAAGAAGGUUGACGUUUUCGCCUUGAGUAUUUAUGGGUUAGUGAUCUUUCCCAAAGCAUUACGACAUAUCAACGAAGCAGUCAUUGAUUUAUUGGAUAGGCUUACCAAACAGGCUACACCGAUACCAGCAAUUCUAGCAGAGACAUUCAGAUCUUUAAAUGCAUGUCGAAGGGCAGGUGAGGGAAGAUUCGUGGGAUGCACGCAAUUAUUAUUGGUUUGGUUCUAUGGCCACUUCUGGAAAGUUCACAGAAUGCCGAAUCGAGUUUUUUUUGAAAAUUAUUCCCCUUUGAAGGAGAUAGCAGCUACGCCCAUGAGGGAUGACAUAUCAGAAGAAAGGUGGAUGACAAUUCUCCAAAAUCUCCAAGAAAAAGAUGUGGAAUGGAAGGCCCCUUGGAUGGUUCCCGAUGAAGUCCUCUACCGGUGCGGAAAUUUUGACUGGGUACCUCUGCUUGGAGUUUGGGGAGUUGUUGGGUAUGCCCCUUUGCUGGUGUUAAGGCAGUUUGAGUUAGAGCAGUUUGUACCUGCGACACAUGGGUUAGCUCAUAGUGAAUUUUUGUAUAAAGGGGAUAAUUAUAAGAAGAGAGUUCGAGAAAUCGCCGAUGCCUGGAAACAGACACACCGAAUGAAGAAGUUGACUAGAUGCCCAAUGACGACUCCUGAGUACAGUAGGUGGUUGAGUAAGAAGAUCAAUGAUAAUAUUCCGAGGCCAAGUCUAGAAGGCGUCCAAUCGAUGGAAGAACACUUACGAGUAAUUCCUUCCGAGCUGGAAAUUAUAAAACAAGACCUCAAAAGGAGAAAUUCAGAGUUAGGAAAGAAGAUAGAGCAGUUGGAGGAAGAGAAGAUGCAUCUAAGGUUAGAUAUUGACGUUCAGAAACUCGAGGCUGAGAAACUGCGAAAGGGGAAAAGAAAAGCUGAGGAGGACUUGGACGCUUUGAAGACUGAUUACCGGCAGCUACAUAAGUCAAUGAGAAAUGCUGGACUGGGAAAGAUAUCAGAGCAAUGGCGACAAGAGGUCCAAGAGGAAAGGUCUAAAGCCGAACAAUGGGAAAAAAGAUUUCAUGAUACUUGUGCACGAGAGAGCGUUUUAAAAAAGAGUUUGGUUGAAAGCCAGAAUGAAAAAGAAAUGUUAAGAGCUCGAGUAGAGGAGUUAGGGAUGGCGCUUCAUCAAUCUCGUAGUCGCAACUCUGCAGUAGAGCUGAAGGCAAGCUUAAACAGGAUCGAGGAUUUGAGAGGGAAGAUAGAAGAACUUGAGACCGAACUUCAGAACCGUGAACUUCAAAUUCAACUUCUUGAGUCAGAUAAUGAGCAUUGGAAAGAGCUGCUACAUAGAUCUCAGAACCAGGUCAGGGACAGAGAUUGCAUCAUGGGUGAGGCCGUGGCUCAGAUUCGAGAGGUAGCGGAGCAUUUGCAAACUCUAGCAGUUCAAGCUGACGUGUUAAGUAUAAAGUAUGAAUUAGAGUCAGAUCGAGGUCGAGAGCUAGCUGGGCUUCUCGAGAGAGUUAAAACUUUAGGCAUAAGGGCUAGGCCAUAUAUAUAACCCGUUUUAUGUAAAGUUUUCUGUUUUCUAAUAAAGUUAUUUUAAAAGAAAUUGAAUCAGAAUUGACGCCUUCUUAGUUUUGCAUUCAUUUCAUACAUUUACAUCACAUCGCAUCAUAUGUAUUAAGUUACACGAAAGAACCCUAUUAAUUAGUGAUAAUUUAUCUAGUUACCCUAGAACAUCGCUACUAUACACGGAGGAAAAUAAGGGAUAUGGAUCAGAGGUUAGAGAAAUUAGAACAAAUGCAGGAGCAACUGCAACCUCAGAUACAAGAACAGCUGGCUAGGAUCCAGCAGGAGAUGAAGGAUCAAAUGCUAGAGUCCUAGAAAAACAUGCUGGAGUCACAGAACAACAUGAUGAGCCAGCUAACACAGCUGUUAAAGGGGGGUCUGACAAAGGAAAAGGCCCUAUGAGUGAUAGUGGGGACGACAAUGAAGACUCCACAUAUCCUCCUAGAUUAGCCCCAGCAAGUGCCCAACCACCCAAGGUGUCUGUUAAUAUUAGACCUCAGUAUCAAUUUGGUACUUCAGCGCUAGGAAAUCUCCCAACAAGCUCAAGUUCUAAUCCGGGCGAUAAUUUGGCAAAACCAACUGUCCCCGACCUCGAAGAUGUUGAAGAAAAGGAAAAAGCAAGGGCUGAGCUCCCAAAACAGUUCGAAGACCGUUGCAAGUGGUUAGAGGAGAGGUUCAAGGCAUUAGAAGGUAUAGAUUAUUAUUGCGGGGUUGAUGCUAAGGAAUUGAGUUUGGUACCGGACUUAGUACUCCCUCCAAAAUUCAAGAUGCCGAAAUUUGAAAGGUAUAAUGGAACCAGCUGCCCGGAGGCUUACAUUACAAUAUUCUGCUGGAGAAUGACGGGGUAUGUCAACAAUGAUCAGCUGUUGAUUCACUGUUUUCAGGAUAGUUUGAUUGGGGCUGCGGUGAAAUGGUACAAUCAGUUAAGUUGUACCCAAAUCAAAUCGUGGAAAGACUUAGCUCAGGCCUUCAUGAAGCGAUAUGGCCAUGUAACAGAUAUCGUACCUGACAGGAUCACGUUACAAAACAUGGAGAAGAAACCGGGUGAAAGUUUUAGGAAGUACGCCCAGAGGUGGAGGGAAGUUGCCACACAAGUUCAACCACCACUGCUGGAAAAAGAAACGACCAUUCUAUUUGUCAAUACAUUGAAGGCACCUUUCAUCAAUCAUAUGCUGGAAAGCACAAUUAAAAGUUUCGCAGACAUAGUGAUGUCAGGCAAAAUGAUAGAAAAUGCGAUAAGAUGUGGGGAGAUAGAAACGGGGGAAAGCACAAGAAGGUCAGCCCCAAAGAAAAGAGAAAAUGAGGUAGGUAAUGUGAGCUCAGGGUAUUCAAAACCUGUCACGGACGAUAGUCACAGGCCAACAGGCCGCACCAAGGCGAGAGCCUAAUACAAGGUAGAAUACAGAGAGGUUCCAGUUCACUCCCAUACCAGUGACAUAUAGGGAGCUCUACAAAAAGUUAUUUGAUGCACACGUAGUGGCCCCUUUCCACUUAGAAUUGUUACAACCCCCAUACCCUAAAUGGUAUGAUGCAAAUGCUCAGUACCCUAAAUGGUAUGAUGCAAAUGCUCAGUGCGAAUACCACGUAGGGAUUACGGGGCACUCGAUAGAAAACUGUACCUCGUUCAAAAGGUGUGUAGAAAGGCUUAUCAAAGCAGGUGUUGUAAAAUUCGAUGAUACACCUGGUACGGGAAAUCCGUUGCCUAGUCAUACUGAUAAAGGGGUAAACACGAUAAUUGAGAAUAUGGGGAGGAAAGUCAAGCUGAAUAUCGCUGAGGUGAGAACCCUAUUAAAGCUAGUUUGCAAGGAAAUACAGAAGAGAGGUUUAGUCCCGCAGGGGUUGAGGGAUAAAAUCCAAGAUACACGGAACUACUGUGAGUUCCAUCAUGAGAAAGAUCACGAGAUCCAGAAUUGUAUUGAGUUCAGGGCCCUAGUACAGGGUCUAAUGGAUAAUAAGGAAUUAGAGUUCCUCGAGUCUGUCGAGAUGAGGAUGUAUGCUCUCUAGGAGGAGAGUCGAGUGAAGAAGGCUGCAGAGCCAGCCGUCCAGUGAUAAUUAUUUUGAGGCCCAGAGUUAGUGAAGUAGAAGCAAGAGUUACACCAAGAGUUAUAAUCCAGAAGCCAACAGUUUCCCCUUAUAAAGAUAGUCAUAGAGUGCCUUGGAAUUAUAAUUGUAGUAUAGCAGUUGCAGAGAAGGAGGGUUCGAUUAACACGCCAAACACAGAAGUCGAACCAGCAAAAGGGAAACCCGUCAUGCUCAAGCAAGAAGUAGAGAGAUCAGAACCACUGGUUAAUGAGCCAGUAAUAGAAAAUGAAGCCAAAGAGUUCUUGAAGUUCCUAAGACACAUCGAGUAUAGUGUUGUGGAACAACUACACCAACAACUGGAUCGCAUAUCGAUAUUGGCUCUGCUGUUAAAUUCGAAGGUCCACCGCAACGUAUUGAUGAAAGUGUUGAACGAAACUUAUAUUGCGGAUGACAUUUCGAUUAACAAACUGGAUCCUCUUGUCGGCAACAUAAGUGUUGAAAAUUUCAUCUCCUUUAGCGAUGAUAAGAUACCAUCAAGGGGUAGGGGGUCUACUAAGGCUCUGCAUAUCACUACACGUUGUAAGGGGUAUACGCUACCCGGAGUACUAGUUGAUAAUGGGUCCGCAUUGAAUGUAUUGCCUUGGGCUACGUUAAACCGUUUACCUAUAGACAAUUCCCAUAUGAAGACGUGUCAGAACAUAGUAAGAGCAUUUGAUGGCACAGAAAGAAAAGUAAUGGGAAUGAUAGAGGUACCUCUUCAGAUUGGCCCAAACGCGUACGAGGUAGAUUUCCUCGUGAUGGAUAUUAAGCCUUCCUAUAACUGUCUAUUAGGAAGACUUUGGAUUCACUCAGCUGGGGCAGUGCCAUCCUUGCUGCAUCAGAAGUUAAAGAUGGUUACUGAGGGUCGGCUAAUAACAAUAAAUGCGGAGGAGGACAUUAUUGUGUCAGUUACCAGUGAUGCACCCUACGUAGAGAAUGACAACGAAGCGAUUGAAUGUUCAUUUCGAUCGUUAGAGUCUGUAAUUGUAAUGUUUAUAGCUGAAGGAAGUAGGAUUCCGAUACCUAAGAUGUCAGGGGCUACGAAAAUGAGCCUGCAGCUGACAGUUGGGAAAUGGGCGUUACCUGGCAAAGGACUCGGGAGGCACCUCCGUGGACAAGUUAGAGUGCCAGUCUUGGUUGGAUAGUGGGAUCGCUUCAGUUUGGGAUUUAGGCUAGAUGCAAGCCAAGUGAAGAAGGAGUUUGAAAGGAAACAGGAACAGCGGAGAGCAAGAUUGAGUGGGACAGAAGUCAGGUAGGAACCGAUGAGCUUCCCCCAUAUUUUCCAAACAUUUGUAUCUGGAGGGUUUAUUCAUUCUGCACCGGAGAGGAUAAAAGAAGGAAUGGUCGAGGAUGUGAUAGGAAUUUGGAACAUCAACGCCACGUUUGAAGAGGAAGCAAUGGAAAGAAAUUUAUCGGGCAUUUGCCCGUACGAGCCUGGGAGUGUUUUGAAUAACUGGACUGUGGAAGAAAUUCCUGUAAUCUUUAGAGCUAACAUAGGGUAAUAUUCAAAACCCACUUGUUGUCUUCUAGCCUAGGGACAAUAAGAAUCUUUUGUGAAAUAGGCUCAUGUCCAAACAUUAUUAUUUUCAAUAAAAAAUGCAUUUUCAUAUAUCAGUUUGAGCAAUUAUUUUUUCUUCCUUUUCAUUUCAUACACAAUCAUAACAUAUAAAGGAAUUAUUCAUUUCAUUUUCUUUGGGUAUUCUCUUAUACUCAUAAUAGGCCCCCGGAUGUCAACGUCAUGAGUAAUGCUGAUACGAGCCCGGAAUUCCCUUUUGAGCGAGACAUGUGUUUUGAGGGACUUCAAGAUUUUGAAGAGGAUGAGGAUUGUGGUUUAUCUCCCGAUUUGUUAAGGAUGGUGGAGCGAGAAGAGGAGCAGAUCCUGCCACACAAAGAGACUACUGAGAUUGUGGCCCUGGAAAAGGGGAGGGAAGUUAAAAUUGGCACUUUCGUUAACGAGAAAACAAGACAGAACCUUAUUGAGCUAUUGCAAGAAUUCAAGGACGUCUUUGCAUGGUCAUAUUAGGAUAUACCUGGUUUAAGUACCGAUAUCGCAGUACACCGUGUCCUUACAAAAAAGGAGUGCAAGCCAGUUCAGCAGAAGCUCCGAAGGAUGAGACCCGAGGUAGCAAUAAAAAUAAAGGAAGAAGUCAAGAAGCAGUUUAAUGCUGGAUUCCUACAGGUGGUCAAUUAUUCAGAAUGGGUGGCCAACGUCAUCCCUGUCCCUAAGAAAGAUGGGAAAGUACGGAUGUGUGUAGAUUACAGAGAUUUAAAUAAGGCCAGCCCAAAGGAUAACUUUCCAUUGCCUCAUAUAGACACUCUAGUGGAUAAUACGACAGGCUAUUCACUGUUCUCCUUUAUGGAUGGGUUCUCCGAGUACAAUCAGAUUAAGAUGCAUUCUAAGGAUAUGGAAAAAACUACAUUCAUAACUUUAUGGGGAACGUUUUGCUACAAAGUGAUGCCCUUCGGGUUGAAAAAUGCAGGAGCCACAUACCAAAGAGCCAUGGUAACCUUGUUCCAUGACAUGAUGCACAAGGAAAUUGAGGUCUACGUUGACGACAUGAUUGCAAAAUCUCGAACUGAAGAGGAGCAUGUGCGAGUGUUGAGAAAAUUGUUCUUGAAGUUGAGGAAAUUCCAAUUAAAGCUCAAUCCGUCAAAAUGCACCUUCGGAGCUAGGUCCGAAAAGUUACUCAGCUUCGUAGUCAGUGAGAAGGGAAUAGAAGUCGACCCUGAUAAAGUCAAGGCUAUUCAGGAGCUGCCACUGCCACAAACUCAGAAAGAAGUCCGAGGUUUCCUAGGGAGACUAAACUAUAUCGUACGGUUUAUUUCGCAGCUGACUGAGAAGUGUGACCCCAUAUUUCGUCUUCUUAAAAAGCAUAAUCCUGGGGUAUGGGAUGAUGAAUGCCAAAAAACCUUUGAAAAGGUUAAACAAUAUUUGUCCUGUCCCCCAGUGUUAGCACCGCCAAGCCCUGGUAGACCAUUGAUACUGUACUUAACAGUAUUUGAUAAUUCGAUGGGGUAUGUGCUCGGCCAACACGAUGAGACUGGGAGAAAAGAAAGAGCGACAUAUUACCUCAGUAAAAAAUUCACUGAGUGUGAAAUGAGGUAUCCGCCAAUUGAGAAGCUAUGCUGUGCUUUGGUUUGGACAACACGAAGGUUGAGGCAAUACAUGUUGUACCGUACAACUUGGCUAAUCUCAAAGCUAGACCCUCUCAAAUACAUGAUGGAAUCAACCGCUUUAAAUGGAGGGAUGGCCCGAUGGCAGAUUCUGCUCUCCGAAUUUGAUAUAGUCUAUGUAAACCAAAAAGCUGUGAAGGAGAGUGCAAUAGCAGACUUCCUAGCCAGUAGAGCUCUGGAGGACUAUGAACCUUUGAAUUUUAGUUUCCCCAAUGAAGAUCUAAUGUAUGUAGCAAUCGCUGAAGGAGACAUGUCUGAAGAUCAUUCUUGGAAAUUAAAUUUUGACGGAGCAUCAAAUGCCGUUGGAAAUGCAGUUGGGAAAGUACUAAUAUCCCAAAAUGGAGACCAUUAUCUAUUCACUUGCAAGCUGGAUUUUGACUGCACAAACAACAUGGCAGAAUACGAGGCAUGUAUCAUGGGAAUUCGGGCAGCUAUAGGCCGCGAAAUCAAAGUAUGAGAAGUGUGUGAAGAUUCUGUAUUGGUAAUUUAUCAGCUUAAAGGCGAGUGGGAAACAAGAGAUCCCAAAUUGAUCAGUUACCGAAAGUUAAUCUUGGAGUUAAUUGAAGAGUUUGAUAAUAUUACCUUUCAUUACCUCUCGCGAGACGAGAAUUAGAUGGCUGACGCCUUGGCUACAUUGGCUUCCAUGAUCAAAGUAAAUGAACAGGAAGAUAUGAAGCCAAUUCAAAUGAGUAUCUGUGAGGCUCCGGCUCACUGCUGUAAUGUUGAUGAAGAGGAAGAGAGAGAUGAUCAUCCUUGGUAUCAUGAUAUCUUACAAUAUGUGAAGAGCCGUGCGUACCCAGAUCAAGCAACCGAAAAUGAUAAAAGAACAUUGAGGAAGUUACCCAGUGACUAUGUCCUGGACGGUGAGGUCCUAUAUAAAAAAGAAAGGAUUAGGUGUUGCUAAGAUGUGUUGACGCUGUUGAGGCAAAGAAAAUUCUAGAGGAAGUCCAUGAUGGCAUUUGUGGGACACAUGCUAAUGGUUUUACAAUGGCUCGACAAAUCAUGAGAUUCGGAUAUUACUGGUCCACAAUGGAAGGAGAUUGCAUCAAUUACGCUAAGAAGUGCCUUAAGUGUCAAAUUUAUGGAGACAAGAUCUAUGUGCCUCCUUCACCCCACCAUGUUAUGACUACCCCAUGGCCAUUCUCAAUGUGGGGUAUGGACGUCAUUGGGCCAAUUUCGCCAAAGGCUUCCAACGGACAUCGAUUCAUUUUUGUGGUCAUUGACUACUUUACCAAAUGGGUGGAGGCUACUUCGUACGCCAAUUUCACAAAGUUGGCGGUCAGCAAGUUCCUGAAGAAGGAGAUCGUAUGUCGUUAUGGUAUGCCAGAAAGAAUCGUAUCUGACAAUGCAUUGAAUCUGAACAAUAGCGCAAUAGUAGAAGUCUGCAGUCGGUUCAACAUUAAACAUCACAACUCGUCGCCAUACCGCCCAAAAAUGAAUGGGGCGGUUGAGGCAGCUAAUAAGAAUAUCAAGAAGAUUGUAGGGAAAAUGGCGGAGACCUACAAAGAUUGGCAUGAAAAGCUCCCAUUUGCCCUUUAUGCUUAUCGGACAUCUGUCAGAACUUCUACUGGGGCAACACCUUUCUCAUUGGUUUAUGGGAUGGAGGCAGUUUUACCUAUUGAGGUCGUAAUCCCUUCUCUCCGAGUUUUAUCAGAGUUGAAGUUAGACGAAGCAGAAUGGAUCCAAUCUCGUUACGAUCAACUAACUUGGUUGAAGAGAGGAGGUUGAAAGCUAUUCAUCAUGGUCAAAUGUACCAGAGGAGAAUGAUGCGAGCCUACAACAAAAAAGUUCGCCCUAGGGUGUUCCAUGAAGGGGACUUAGUAUUGAAAAAGAUUCUCCCUAUGCAAAAAGAUUUCAGGGGGAAAUGGAUGCCAAAUUGGGAAGGACCUUAUGUGGUAAAAAAGGCUUUCUCUGGAGGGGCAUUGAUACUAGUAGAGAUGGAUGGCAAGAGCUUGCCUAACCCGAUAAAUUCAGAUUCUGUCAAAAGAUAUUUUGCUUGAAGCAGUUGAGGUGAAAACCCGUAAAGGGCGCCAAAAAAAAAGGGAGAGGCCAGGGUGAAAACCCGUAAAAGGGCGCAUUGAGACCAAAGGGACUUUGAAUUGAAAACCCACAAAGGGCAAUUCAAAAAUUGAUCCAGACUGGGGCAAGUAGCAGUCUCGUUACACUAGAAUCGACAAAGAAGGGAUGGGCUACAUCUUGGGGCAUCGACAAAAUGCUAUAGAUCCCUUGAGCACAUGUCAAGUGUAGAAUGGUCUUCGACUAGUUCGUUAGAGAAGCUCAAACUGCGGAAUCUGGGGCACCUAUUUGUUCUUUUUAUCCAUUUUUGUAUUUCAAAUAAUCAAUGCUUUCUUUCUUUAGUACAUCUUUCGUGAACUAGGACUCGAAUAAAUUUCAGUUCCAUUUACCCUUAUGAUCUUUUUCAAGCGUUUUAUAUUGAAAUAAUGAUUAAUGAACUAACAAUGUUCUCAAAACAGGUUUUACGUAUUACUCUGAAAGAUUUCUAAACAAUACAAGAUCCUGAAACAGGGCAAUUAUUUAAAACUCACCAGGCUUAAAGAGCUAGAAACGUGUGGAGGAAAAGGGACUUACAAUAUCCUCAAGCUGGAUGAGAAGGCAUACGUCGGGGAUGUUACUAUAGCAAACAGCGAGCGAUGAUAGCCUAAAAAUUAAAAUGAUCAUUCUCAUGACAUUUUGCAUUUAUGCAUUUAAAUAUCCAUAAUACAUCUAGUUAGGAGCAUUUGAUUAAUCAUGACAUCCUAAACAUCUAGCAUAAGCAUAAAAUCACUUUUCUACAGAUAGGAUCCCCCAGUGGACAAUGUAGCAGGAUUGAUUAAAAAGACAGAUAUCAUCAGCCUUAUCUUCACUUAGCAGGAGUGAAGCGGGCUAAACAUACCCGAUCUUAUCUUCACUGAGCAGGAGUGAAGCAGAUCAAAUUUUGGCGAGUCUUAUCUUCACUGUGUAGGAGUGGAGCAGAUUUCAGCCACCAGUCUUAUCUUCACUGAGCAGGAGUGGAGCAGAUUUCAGCCACCAACCUUAUCUUCACUGAGUAGGAGUGGAGCAGGCUAAACAUACCCGAUCCUUUCUUCACUGAGCAGGACUGAAGCAAAUCAAAUUUUGGCGAGUCUUAUCUCCAUGUAUCGGCAAUGGAGCAGAUUCUAAUCAUCAGCCUUAUCUUCACUGAGUAGGAGUGAAGCAGGCUAAGUAUAGCAGAUCUUAUCUUCGCUGAGCAGGAGCGGAGCAGAUCGAAUUUUGAUGAAUCUUAUGUCCCUGUACUAGCGAUGGAGCAGAUUCCAAUCAUCAGACUUAUCUUCAAUGAGCAGGAGUGAAGCAGGCUAAAUAUAUCAGAUCUUAUCUCCACUGAACAAGAGUGGAGCAGGUCAGAUACAAUGGAUCUUAUCUUCGCCGAGCAGGAGUGGAGCAGAUCAAAUUUUAGCAAAUCUCAUUUACAUGAAGCAGCAAAUGAGCAUUUUUGAAGCAAUAAAAUGCGGUGGGCUGUGGCAAAAAAGACAAGACUCAGCCAGCCCAAGUAAAUUUGGUCCUCCUAAAAUCUUUGCUCUAUUCUCAUUACACGACAAUGAGCAAAGAGGGGCAGCUGUAGGACCAAAUUUUUAAACAAACCCAAACCUAGGCCUAAACAAAUUAACCAUUAAAACAAAACCUAGCCCAAUACAAACACAAACCCACUAAACAAGCCCAAAACCAAUAAAGCAAAAAUGAGAAAUCCUAGCCUGAGGAGUAGCAGCCGCAAGCAGUUCCCAGCAGCCGGAUCUUGUGCACCAUGUCGAAACUCACGUCCAACACGCCUCGUGCCCCCAACUCCCUCGCACCCACGGCUCCCACG
rnacentral:lncRNA from 1 species